rnacentral:rRNA from 1 species
AGCGGCGGACGGGCGAGUAACGCGUGGGUAACCUGCCUCAUACAGGGGGAUAACAGUUAGAAAUGACUGCUAAUACCGCAUAAGACCACAGCACCGCAUGGUGCGGGGGUAAAAACUCCGGUGGUAUGAGAUGGACCCGCGUCUGAUUAGCUAGUUGGUAAGGUAACGGCUUACCAAGGCGACGAUCAGUAGCCGACCUGAGAGGGUGACCGGCCACAUUGGGACUGAGACACGGCCCAA